GGGUUGUGAGGUUAAGCGACUAAGCGUACACGGUGGAUGCCCUGGCAGUCAGAGGCGAUGAAGGACGUGCUAAUCUGCGAUAAGCGUCGGUGAGGUGAUAUGAACCGUUAUAACCGGCGAUUUCCGAAUGGGGAAACCCAGUGUGUUUCGACACACUAUCAUUAACUGAAUCCAUAGGUUAAUGAGGCGAACCGGGGGAACUGAAACAUCUAAGUACCCCGAGGAAAAGAAAUCAACCGAGAUUCCCCCAGUAGCGGCGAGCGAACGGGGAGGAGCCCAGAGCCUGAAUCAGUGUGUGUGUUAGUGGAAGCGUCUGGAAAGGCGUGCGAUACAGGGUGACAGCCCCGUACACAAAAAUGCACAUAUUGUGAGCUCGAUGAGUAGGGCGGGACACGUGGUAUCCUGUCUGAAUAUGGGGGGACCAUCCUCCAAGGCUAAAUACUCCUGACUGACCGAUAGUGAACCAGUACCGUGAGGGAAAGGCGAAAAGAACCCCGGCGAGGGGAGUGAAAAAGAACCUGAAACCGUGUACGUACAAGCAG
rnacentral:rRNA from 1 species